ensembl:lncRNA NAP1L6P nucleosome assembly protein 1 like 6, pseudogene
CUCCUUUUGCCAUGGCAGCUAGUGGGGAAAGCCCUUUAGCCCGCUACUCUUGCCUUCCACGGCUUCCGCCACCCCAGGCCAGCUUCCACAGCAGCUGUAGCUGCUUCGUUCCGCCUCCGUCUUAGCACCCCCAGGUGCCGGCGGCCCGGGCCAAGCCAUCGCCUACAGUUCGGUGAGUGUUUCCCUGCCAAAAAGCUAAUGAUGGAAGGGCUCGGAGAACACAGCACAGCCGGUGAAAUGGGCCCAUUACUCGGCGCUGUGGCAGCCACAGCCUCUCCGCAGUCUUUGAUGGAGUACUCCUCAGACGCAGAUUUUAUUGAGAGCCUGCCUCUGGUGGUUAAGUACCGAGUGUACACUCUCAAAAAGCUUCAGGCCAAAUGUGCCGUGCUAGAGGCCAAGUACCUGAGGGAAUUUCAUUCUGUCGAGAGGAAGUUUGCCACCAUCUAUGGACCCUUAUUGGAAAAGAGACGGCAGAUCACCAAUGCACUGUAUGAGCCCACGAAAGAGGAGUGUGAGAGGUGAAGUCCAAGGUUGAGGACUAUGAGUAUAAUGAGGUGGCCGGUGAUUCUAAUGCUCAGAUGUAUGGUGCAGAGGAGAAUCCGGAGUAUGAGGACUUGGUGGAGGAUCGUGAGGAGGAUUUCGAGGAUGUCGGGGAGGUGUUUGGGGAGUAUGAAGGAAUCGAGGGACAUAAUGUGGACGGAGAAAAAGAUAAUCCUACAGGGAUCCCCGAUUUCUGGCUCACGGCUUUAUAGAAUGCCCAGGAGGUUGCCCCGCUGAUUAAGAAAUAUGACGAGGCCAGGCGCAGUGGCUCACGCCUGUAAUCCCAGCACUUUGGGAGGCCGAGGCAGGUGGAUCACAAGUUCAGGAAAUCGAGACCAUCCUGGCUAACACAGUGAAACCCCGUCUCUACUAAAAAUACAAAAAAAAAAAAAAAAAAAAUUAGCCGGGGGUGGUGGCACACACCUAUAGUCCCAGCUGCCCAGGAGGCUGAGGCAGGAGAAUCGCUUGAACCCAAGAGGCAGAGGUUGCAGUGAACUGAGAUCGCACCACUGCACUCCAGCCUGGGCGACAGAGCGAUAUUCCGAAAAAACGAAACAACAACAACAAAAAUAUGACGAGCCCAUUCUGAAGCUCUUGCAAGACGUGAAAGUCAAGUUUUCAAAAUCAAACUAGCCACUCACUUUUACGCUGGAAUUUCACUCUGAACCCAACGACUACUUCACAAAUGAGGUGCUGACCGAAAGAAACAUACAUCCUCAAGUCUAAGCUCGAUUAGUCUGACCCCCACCCCUUCAGGGGAUCUGCGGUAGAGCGUUGCUUUGGCAGCAUGAUAGAAUGGAAGAAGGGAAAGAACGUCACUGUGCAAACGGUCCUGAAGAGAGACACAGUUUUUGGGGGCUGAUGUGUACCGCCACUCAGGAAUUUCCCCAAGAGUCCCUUCUUCAAUGCUCUCCAGUGGGGCCUAGAUGCUAAUGAGGAUGAGGAAGACUUCUUCAUCGCUCACACCUUGCACACUUUUGUCAUCCCAAGAGCUGUGUUACACUUUACAGGAGAAGCCCUUGAGGCAGAGCAAGAUACGAUGAUCAGGGAAUGUAAUAAUCCGGUUUAUGACAGAAUGACUCAGGAGAAUUGGGUGACUGCAGUUUAUGGUGCUAAAGGCCAAAACCGAAACUCCCAGGCAGAAGUCAAUGAUUGUUGAAGCAGAAUGGUUGGAGUAUGUGGGCCUCCAGGUUAACAACUGGCUUUUACAAUAACCAAAACUUAAUCAUUCGUUACUUACAGUCUUAACGUGUCUCUUCUUGGUAGUCUCAGUUUAAAAUUAUGUCCAAAUAUAUUUAACAAUGCAUUUCAUCUAGCACUCCAGUGGUGUAAACUUUGUCAACAAUUUUAUUAGGCAGUGAAUUCUCAACGUAUGUGAAGACCUUACUAUUGUGAAUCCAUGGCUUUUGUCAGGUUGCUACUAGUCUGCAUCUAUGGAAAAUUACCAGAACUUGUAACUAAGAUCUAUGUUUGGGUUUGUAAAAUAAAGUGAGAUAGCAUCCUU